rnacentral:lncRNA from 1 species
CAUCUUCACUGUUAUCUCCAAGACAAACGCAACAAAUCAAAAUAUGGUCCAUUUUCUGGGAACUCCAAUUUUGGGACUUCUCAAGGAUCAAGGAGUCCUGAAGCAUCUCCAACUUUAAAAUCACUGUCAUCAGAGCUAUCAUAAUCUAAAGCUUCCAGCAGGGAAGCCGCCAGAGGCUUCACUUGUCUCCUCUUCGAGCUGCGGUCCAUAAAGGCUGUGCAGGUAAGCGGCGGCGAGCGGGAAUGCGUCCAGGCGGCGGCAGCGCGGCGCCGCCUUAGCCCCUCGGGUGCGGACCGCUGAGCCUCGGACCCCCUCGCCAGACAAUGGGCACGGC